rnacentral:rRNA from 1 species
GUGGGGAAUAUUGGACAAUGGGCGCAAGCCUGAUCUAGCCAUGCCGCGUGAGCGAUGAAGGCCUUAGGGUUGUAAAGCUCUUUCGUGGGGGAAGAUAAUGACUGUACCCCAAGAAGAAGCCCCGGCUAACUCCGUGCCAGCAGCCGCGGUAAUACGGUGGGGGCUAGCGUUGUUCGGAAUUACUGGGCGUAAAGCGCACGUAGGCGGACCAGAAAGUCAGAGGUGAAAGCCCGGGGCUCAACCCCGGAACUGCCAUUGAAACUCCUGGUCUUGAGGUCGAGAGAGGUGGGUGGAAUUCCGAGUGUAGAGGUGAAAUUCGUAGAUAUUCGGAGGAACACCAGUGGCGAAGGCGGCUCACUGGCUCGAUACUGACGCUGAGGUGCGAAAGCGUGGGGAGCAAACAGGAUUAGAAACCCGUGUAGUCC